rnacentral:rRNA from 1 species
UGGGGAAUAUUGGACAAUGGGCGAAAGCCUGAUCCAGCCAUGCCGCGUGUGUGAAGAAGGUCUUCGGAUUGUAAAGCACUUUAAGUUGGGAGGAAGGGCUGCAAGCUAAUACCUUGUAGUUUUGACGUUACCAACAGAAUAAGCACCGGCUAACUUCGUGCCAGCAGCCGCGGUAAUACGAAGGGUGCAAGCGUUAAUCGGAAUUACUGGGCGUAAAGCGCGAUUAGGUGGUUUGGUAAGAUGGAUGUGAAAUCCCCGGGCUCAACCUGGGAAGUGCAUCCAUAACUGCCUGACUAGAGUACGGUAGAGGGUGGUGGAACUUCCUGUGUAGCGGUGAAAUGCGUAGAUAUAGGAAGGAACACCAGUGGCGAAGGCGACCACCUGGACUGAUACUGACACUGAGGUGCGAAAGCGUGGGGAGCAAACA